AUCCGCAGGUCUCAAGGAUAUGCCUUCAUGUCUUUUUCUUUGGUGCUGCCAAAAGACUGUAAUGUACCCGUGCGCUGCCUAUCACCAAGUUCUUUGUGUGCUCAAAGGACUGUGAAUUGGAAACAGGGUGUUUCAGAUAAGACUGUUCUCAUGCACUCUCUGCCACAUUCACCUCAGUUGCUUCCACAGCGAUACCUCUGUUGAUAUGAGUUUGUUUACUUAAUAAAUGUGAAGUUUGUUACCAGCAUUUCUCCUAGUCCUUGUCUUUGGCACAUGGUGACAGAAGACCAGCCCAUAAAGAAACAUUAUGGAAACCAGAAAACCUUCUGAACUGGAUCCAGUCACUGAACUCAUCACGGCACUUCACACGGCACUCCAAUCAUCAGUCACUUCACCUGCCUCCACCUGUCCAAUGGCCAAACCAGCAGUAUAUUCGGUUCUCUGGAGACAGCGCGAAGAUAUCCUUCAUCUCUCUGCUUUUAGGAAGAGCUCGUCAAUGGGCCAAAUCUCUGUGGAGCUCAAAGUCUGAACUGGAAGUGCCUCCUCCUCCACCCAAGGUCACUACUGAUGACACCACCUACCGGGUCCGGGAAAUCCUAAAUUUCAGGAUUCCUGGGUGGACAGAUGACAUCCUCGACU